AGUCGUAUGUUGUCAGAAAUGCCC
rnacentral:siRNA from 1 species